UACGUAGGGGGCAAGCGUUGUCCGGAUUCAUUGGGCGUAAAGAGCGUGUAGGCGGCCAGGUAGGUCGGUUGUGAAAACUGGAGGCUCAACCUUCAGAGGUCGACCGAAACCAUCUGGCUAGAGUCCGGGAGAGGAGAGUGGAAUUCCGUGGUGUAGCGGUGAAAUGCGCAGAUAUCAGGAAGAACACCCGUGGCGAAAGCGGCUCUCUGGAACGGUACUGACGCUGAGGAGCGAAAGCGUGGGGAGCGAACAGG
rnacentral:rRNA from 1 species